GCAGCGCUGAGCAAUGACAAGAUCAAGGAAGUCCUGAAGUGCAUGGCAGACCACGCCCCUGCCCAGGUAAAACCAAAAGCUGUGGAGAUCAUCGCCGAGAAGGGAGACCGUGCAGCUGAGCUUAUUAAAAAGAAGUGCGAGUCCGACGCAGACUUUGACGCGCUGCUGACGACUGUGUUCUCGGACAAAGUUGCGAACGCUGUUAAGACGGCUUACAGUCAUUGCAAGCCGGCAUCUGGAUAGCCAGUGCGUUGUGCGGAUCACUGGCGACACUUUUGCACCAUAGAAUGUAUAUUCCGAAAUAAAAGCGUGAGUG